UGUUUAAUAUUCAAAUAUGAAUUAAGGUUGCAAAUCUUAGAGUGGGGGAACCCUUAAGCUU
rnacentral:tRNA from 1 species